GAUGAACGCUGGCGGCGUGCCUAAUACAUGCCAGUCGAGCGAACGGACGAGAAGCUUGCUUCUCUGAUGUUAGCGGCGGACGGGUGAGUAACACGUGGAUAACCUACCUAUAAGACUGGGAUAACUUCGGGAAACCGUAGCUAAUACCGGAUAAUAUUUUGAACCGCAUGGUUCAAAAGUGAAAGACGGUCUUGCUGUCACUUAUAGAUGGAUCCGCGCUGCAUUAGCUAGUUGGUAAGGUAACGGCUUACCAAGGCAACGAUGCAUAGCCGACCUGAGAGGGUGAGCGGCCACACUGGAACUGAGACACGGUCCAGACUCCUACGGGAGGCAGCAGUAGGGAAUCUUCCGCAAUGGGCGAAAGCCUGACGGAGCAACGCCGCGUGAGUGAUGAAGGUCUUCGGAUCGUAAAACGCUGUUAUUAGGGAAGAACAUAUGUGUAAGUAACUGUGCACAUCUUGACGGGACCUAAUCAGAAAGCCAAGGCUAACUACGU
rnacentral:rRNA from 1 species